rnacentral:rRNA from 1 species
GACGAACGCUGGCGGCGUGCUUAACACAUGCAAGUCGAACGGAAAGGCCCUGCUUUUGUGGGGUGCUCGAGUGGCGAACGGGUGAGUAACACGUGAGUAACCUGCCCUUGACUUUGGGAUAACUUCAGGAAACUGGGGCUAAUACCGGAUAGGAGCUCCUGCUGCAUGGUGGGGGUUGGAAAGUUUCGGCGGUUGGGGAUGGACUCGCGGCUUAUCAGCGUGUUGGUGGGGUAGUGGCUUACCAAGGCUUUGACGGGUAGCCGGCCUGAGAGGGUGACCGGCCACAUUGGGACUGAGAGACGGCGCAGAGUCCUACGGGAGGCAGCAGUGGGAAAUAUUGCACAGUGGGCGGAAGCCUGAUGCAGCAACGCCGCGUGCGGGAUGACGGCCUUCGGGUUGUAAACCGCUUUCGCCUGUGACGAAGCGUGAGUGACGGUAAUGGGUAAAGAAGCACCGGCUAACUACGUG